rnacentral:rRNA from 1 species
UACGUAGGGGGCUAGCGUUGUCCGGAAUCAUUGGGCGUAAAGCGCGUGUAGGCGGUCCGGUAAGUCCGCUGUGAAAGUCGGGGGCUCAACCCUCGAAAGCCGGUGGAAACUGUCGGGCUAGAGUGCGGAAGAGGCGAGUGGAAUUCCUGGUGUAGCGGUGAAAUGCGUAGAUAUCAGGAAGAACACCGGUGGCGAAGGCGGCUUACUGGACUGUAACUGACGUUGAGGCUCGAAAGCGUGGGGAGCAAACAGG